rnacentral:lncRNA from 1 species
AGGGUUGGAUGUCUAAGCUUCUCCAUGCCCAAAAUCUGGUUGGGCAUCCCAUCCUUCUUCCUCCUUUUGGUUGGUGGCUGUUCUACAUCAAAGAAGAUCCAAGGAAGGGGAAAAGGCUGAUCACAUGGUUGAUCAAGAGGUCCAAAGGUUGAUCAAGAGUUGAUCAAUUGCAUGUGAAGAAAAGAAGAGGAGCAAUCCAUGUUGUUCCUAUGUGGAUAUCCAUAA